rnacentral:lncRNA from 1 species
GAGAGGUUUCAGCCCCCAUCAGCCAAAUGCUCUUGAGCAGGCCUCAUCUGGAAAAUAAUGACUGUGUCUCAAAGGAUGACGAAGAGGAAUAAAUGAGCAAUGUGUUUCAAUGAGACAGUAUCGGCUGCGUCAAUGAUUGUAGUGCUAAUUGUUACAGACAUGACCACAAUGCCAAGGCGAAUGGGGACAAUGAAAUCCAUGGCUGGUUUUAAGGGCAGGUGCAGAGGAUCCAGCAUGUUAUUCUGAAACCCCAGAAGACGCUGCAGCUACCAAAUAGAAGGAGCCUGGAUCCCUGAAUGUCUUCAUGGAACAGAACAUUCUCCUCACUCCAGU